UACGAAGGAUCCAAGCGUUAUCCGGAUUUAUUGGGUUUAAAGGGUGCGUAGGCGGGCUAUUAAGUCAGUGGUGAAAGCCUCAAGCUUAACUUGAGAAUUGCCAUUGAUACUGAUGACCUUGAGUACAUUUGAAGUGGGCGGAAUGUGUCAUGUAGCGGUGAAAUGCUUAGAUAUGACACAGAACACCGAUUGCGUAGGCAGCUCACUAAACUGUAACUGACGCUGAGGCACGAAAGCGUGGGGAUCAAACAGG
rnacentral:rRNA from 1 species